AUGGCGGCCCCUGAGCAGCCACUACCGCCGAUGUCAAGAGGAUGCCAGAGCUCUGCCUCGCUCUCCCCGCCGCGGGGCGACCGAACCCUUCUAGUGAGGCACCUGCCAGCCGAGCUGACCGCCGAAGAGAAAGAGGACUUGCUGAAAUAUUUCGGGGCGCAGUCGGUGCGCGUCCUGUCAGAUAAGGGACGACUGAAACAUACAGCUUUUGCUACUUUCCCUAAUGAAAAAGCAGCUAUAAAGGCAUUGACAAGACUACAUCAGCUGAAACUUUUAGGUCAUACCUUAGUUGUUGAAUUUGCAAAAGAGCAAGAUCGAGUUCAUUCCCCGUGUCCCCCUUCAGACCCUGAAAAAAAGAAAAGAUCUGAUGACCCUGUGGAAGAUGAUAAAGAAAAGAAAGAACUUGGUUGUUUAACCAUAGAAAAUGGAAUUGCACCAAACCAUGGGCUGACAUUUCCUCUGAAUUCAUGCCUCAAGUAUAUGUACCCACCACCUUCAAGUACAAUCCUAGCAAACAUAGUAAAUGCUUUGGCAAGUGUUCCUAAGUUCUAUGUACAGGUGCUUCAUCUUAUGAAUAAAAUGAAUUUGCCCACACCUUUUGGACCAAUUACUGCACGACCUCCCAUGUAUGAAGAUUAUAUGCCAUUACAUGCACCUCUUCCACCUGCAUCUCCUCAGCCACCAGAGGAACCUCCUUUGCCAGAUGAGGAUGAGGAAUUAUCAAGUAUAGAAUCAGAAUAUGAAAGCAGUGAUGAUGAAGACCGACAAAGAAUGACCAAACUAAUGGAACUAGCAAAUCUUCAGCCCAAAAGGCCAAAAACAACAAAGCAGCACCAUGUGAGAAAAAAGCAAAAAAUAAAGGAUAUAUUGAAAACACCUUCAUCUGCUCCACAUAGCAGUUUACAUCCAGUGCUGUUACCUUCAGAUGUAUUUGACCAACCACAACCUGUAGGUAUUAAGAAAAUUGAAUUUCAUAUAUCUACUGACAUGCCAUCUGCAUUUAAGAAAGAUCUAGAAAAAGAACAAAAUCGUGAAGAACAAAAUUAUGAUUUACCUGCUCCUGGAGGUGAUGCACCCAAUGUAGGAUUUGGAAAAAUCUUCCCUAAACCUAAUUUGAACAUCACAGAAGAGAUUAAAGAGGACUGUGAUGAAAUGCCAUCAGAAUGUAUUUCUAGAAGGGAGUUGGAAAAAGGCAGAAUUUCUAGAGAAGAAAUGGAAACACUUUCAGUUUUCAGAAGUUACGAACCUGGUGAACCGAACUGUAGAAUUUAUGUAAAGAAUUUAGCUAAACAUGUUCAAGAAAAGGACCUUAAAUUUAUUUUUGGGAGAUAUGUUGACUUUUCCUCAGAAACACAACGGAUAAUGUUUGAUAUACGUUUGAUGAAAGAAGGUCGCAUGAAAGGACAAGCUUUCAUUGGACUUCCAAAUGAAAAAGCAGCAGCAAAAGCCUUAAAGGAAGCUAAUGGAUAUGUUCUUUUUGGAAAACCUAUGGUGGUUCAGUUUGCUCGAUCUGCUAGACCAAAACAAGAUUCUAAAGAAGGAAAAAGGAAGUGUUAAAAAUUAAUGAAGAAGCAUUCCUGCGUAAAUACUGCUGUAUUACUGUCAUACAAAGUGUAUCCUUUCUUGUUGUAUCCUUUUUGGGGCAGUGUUUUCUGUUUUCCUAGAAAUGUUUUGUCCCUCCCCUACGCAUUGAUUCGGAUUAAGCAAUAGUUUUUUUUCUAAUUUAUUCAAAUGAGAUAUUUCUAAAAUUACCAAUGUUGAUUGGACAAAUCACUUACGUGUUUUUUAGAUCUGUUGCUGAAUUUUCUAUGCUGUUCCUGAGGUUAUGUAAUUUUUCUAGGGAAAGUUAGUGAAUCAGGUCAACUUAUUUACUUGGAGAAUGUAUGCAUCUGCUUCAACACAGAAUUUAGUCUUGUUUCUUAUAUUUAUGUAUUUCCUAAACCUAAUUCAAUAACAUAUGCUUUCUGUUUUAUGAUGUAUCUGGUUUAGGUGUUCUAUAUAACGUAUUGUAAAAUUUGGGGAAAGGAUUUUUUUUCUUUUAAAAAAGUAUAUAUAUUGAAAAUUAAAAUACCUGAAUUUCUUUGUAAAUUCCAAGAGUAGCAGACUUCAUAUCUGAGGUUUUAUUAUUGAUACUUCCUUUGAGAUAGAUAGCAAGUAGAAGUAUUUUUUUUUUCCUCUUUCUUUCUCUAAACAAAAGGAAUGAGAAAAGAGGAACAGAGGGAAGAAGACAUAAUGUUGACUCAGGGUAGCACCUUAAGUGAAAAGAAACAAUCUGGUUCCUUCUGAUUCCAUGUCUUCCAACUGCUUUCCAACUUUAAGGAGAAGAAAUUGACACCUGGACUAUGGAACUAUACUGCCCUCUGCCCUUCUUUUCAUUUUUACCUGGAUACCAAUGCAGUUAAACAUACUUUUUUUUUUUUUUUUUAAAGAUUUUAUUUAUUUAUUUGAGACAGAGAGAAUGAGAGACAGAGAGCAUGAGAGGGAGGAGGGUCAGAGGGAGAAGCAGACUCCCCGCCGAGCAGGGAGCCCGAUGCGGGACUCGAUCCCGGGACUCCAGGAUCAUGACCUGAGCCGAAGGCAGUCGCUUAACCAACUGAGCCACCCAGGCGCCCAAACAUACUUUUUUAUAGUAAUAUUAUUUCUUAUUUCUUGUAAUUAUUUUAGGAGUGGUUUUGUUUGUCUGGCUAUGACUUUUGUUUUUUGUUGUUGUUGUUUAUUUUGGAUUUUUUUUAAUAGUGGCAGAUUUUCCCCACUUUAGGAAAUUUGUAUUCUUGCCCUAAUGUCGUCUUUUAUUUUCGUGCCCCCAAAUCGAUCAGAUUAUCACAUAAGGGUGUAAAUGUUUCCCAUACAAAAGUAUUGUGUUAUCUUAGUGAAAUUAGCUUCAGCUAUGUGUUAAUAAGAAAACUUUGCUAUAUUUAAUUUGUUCUUAUUAGUACUGUCCUGUGAAUAUAUAAUAAUAACUUCACCAGAAUCAAUGCCCAGAGACUUGGUCUUUGUUGGAAUGCUUUUGUGAAUCACAGCUUUUGUCUCCUAGCAUUGUGAAAUAAUGAAAAUGGGAAUUUUAAAGAUAGGAAUUAGAAGUAUGGAGAAGUGAACCCCAGAACAUGCUCAUUUUUAGAUGUCAGGUAUAUAAAGAAUUUAGAUGUCAGUAUAUAAACCAAACAAAGAAAAUAUCUCAGGUAGGAAGGGGUGGUGAAAUAUAUCAGAUCUGUUCUUGACAGAUCUCUCCUUGACAAACUGAUCUGAUGAAUGAAGAAAUGAGAGGACGUAUUAAAGAGAAUGGUAGAGAGGAAUUUAAUAUAGUGAGAAUUGAAGACAACCAUGUUAGAGAGUCUUGCUCUCGGGGGGAUAGAGAAAUGGGCUGUUAAUGCAGGGGGGUAUAGUAUCAAGAGGGUUUUGAUUUUGUUUUGUAAAGAUUGAAGAUAUAGCAGGUUUGUAUGGACUAAUCCAGUAGGACUAACCCAGCAGAGGAAAAAACAAAUAUGAUGCAUGAAGGAGAGGGAUAUUGUUGGAGCUACAGAUAUGGUAUGCAAAUAGAAGAGUUAGUUUUAAAGAUGGGCGUGUAAAUGGCUCAUUGAUAGCAGGGAGAAAGGAUGGAUUGUGUAGGCCUAGAUACUUGUAGUUUGCUGGAUAUAUAGGAGGAGCAUGUAAAAGUUGUAUGAUAUUUUUUCUGUGAAAUAGGAAGCAAGGUCACAGAGGGAAAGAGUAUUGGAUUGAGGAAAGAAAAGAAGGUGUAAAAUAGACACUUAGGAAAGUGACAGAGUGAAUAGAUUCUUAGAAGGAUGGCUAGACAGUACUUAAAGUGGUCAGUUGAAGUCUGUUAAUUUAAGUGAGACUAGUCAAAUGAUUUUGUGUUUUCCUCCAAUGAUGUUGAGCCUCGGUGCCAUCACUGAGUAGACAGGAGUUGAAUUUAAUAAAGUUGGAAUUUUCCUAGAUGAAUACAACAAAGUGGGAGGAAGGAAAAGGUGUUGAUAUACUCAAGGGAAUGAUUAUAAAGAAAAGACAUAGAGAUCUGGGUAAAGAGCAAAGUGAGAAAAUGAAGGUUGAGAAACAAUGGAAAAAUGGUAUGAUCAAUUAUAUAUAGAUUGCAGUAUGACUGAAGAAAUGUUGGAGUUAUUUACUAGAGGUAGGAAGUAGAAAUUUGAGAGGUCCAAAUAAGAGAAUAACAUGACAAAUUGACAAAGGCAGAGAAUACUGUAAUUAGUGUCUAUAAGUUCUAGAAUGUGAACAUGGUAGUUAAGUGACAACAGGGUCAUGGAAAGAGAUGAAUUAAAGAAAUUGAGAAACUUGAGUAAGAAAAGGAUCAUCUAAGUGGAUUUUGAAAUUAUUAAGAAUUAUGACAGGAAUAGUGAGCCAAGAUCUAAGUAAAAUUACCUCUUAGAACAUACAAUUCUGUUAGAUAUGGAAAAAGCAGUAUUUAAAAAAAAUCAGUUUAUAAAACUCUUUCUACAGUGACAGGAAAUUCAGCCUAAUUUACUGAAAACUAGUGUAUUACAGUGGUUUUAUAGUUGUAGAUUCUGACACCAAAUCUUGUUUCUGAGGUUUAAUUGCUUUAUCACCUUGGGCAGGUUCUAUCCAUUUCCAUGGAGAUAAUCAAUACUUAUGGUAGGAUUGUUGUAAAGAUGAUUUGAUGAACAUAAAAUACUUAAAACAAGUCUGGGGUGUGUGUGUGUGUAGUCAACUUCUCAGUAAAUAUUAGCUCUUAAUAGUGGUUGUGGUGGUUCUCAGCUCACACCAAUUCCAGGUGGCAUAAAGAUUUUGAUGUCUUAGACAAAACUUCGACAAGACUUCAAUUAUCUUGCCAAUGUAAUGACCCACACUUCUAGUGCUUCUGAGUGAGGAAAAAUUGCCUCGAUUAUUCAAGGUUCUUCUAGCUGGUCUAAGAAUUAAAUUGACAUGAGACGUAAUUCAUAAUUUCUUAACAACCUUAAGUUAGCUUUAAUACUGAAUAUUUUCCCAGUUCACGUGAACUUGAAAUUCAUUUGGAUUGUGUUUCUUUUUUAUUUUUGAGAAUAUUUAUGAAUGCAAAACUUAUAAGUGCUUAAUUUUCUUUAAGCCAAUCAAAUAGAGCUCUUCUACAAAAUCAUUUGAGCAAUUCUAACUGGAAAAUGCCAUAUAUCCACAAUAGACACAUACUGACAGAUGCAGAAAACUUACCAUUAUUAAUAUUUGAGGAGAAAGGGGCAAGAGAACCCUUUUGCAGUUUGUAUUUUUAAAAAAUAUCUACUUCCUUCUUUUUUUUCUUUACUCAGGCAAUUGUGGGCUGUGUGUACACUCCAGAGAUACAAGAUUUAUAACUAUAAGAGACAAAGAAUGUAAGGGUUUUUUUUUUUCCCCUAAGAAUUAUAGGGUAAUUGCUAUUUAGAAUUUACCUUCCUUUUCUUAAGUAGAGGACAAUUCUGUUUCAGUAUCCUGAUUUUUUAUAGUACCUAUAAGCAUUUUGAGAGGAAUAGGUGAGGUUUUGGGAUUGGUAGAGAUGGCGGGGGUUGCUUCUAGAGUUGCAUUUCUGGUUUUGUAGAGAUUUGCCAGGCACAGUUGUUGCUAAUUCCCAGAAAAAACUGAAUUACAGCCUGAAUAUCAAGAGAUUGAUCAGCUUUUUUAACUAAACUUGACUCCUUAGAUCAGGGAGAUUUCCACCUAAAGUGGGAAUCAGGUUUAUAUCUUUGUAAAAAAAAAAAAAAAAAGUCUGUAUAAAUCAUGUUAACUAAAGCCUUCUUUCUUCACAAUUCAAUCUUGGCUUCUAUUAGCCCCUGAAUAUCAGUCUUCUGCUCUUCAUUUGUAGGAGGGCCAGGAAAAAUUAUGGUCAUCUCUUUCUUUUUUAGUGGGGAGGAUGUGAAUCUUUCCAAUUUCUCUUUAAAUUUGGUGGGCUCUUUUGAAAGUGGAGGUAAAAUUGGGCUUUAUGAGUUACAAGAUUUGUUGCUAUCCAAGGGACAUGAAAUUUUUUCCCUCCUGGGUUUGGGGGGGUGGGGGGAGGUGGGAAUCCAGGGUAUAUCUGCAAAGGACAUGGCAUAAGAAUGCCUAAAGCUGGCAGAGCCUGUUUGUAGAGCUUUAGAAAGUAGGAGUUAAAAGAAAUAGCCAAGUGACAUAAUAAAAUUAAAAAAAAAAGAAAGAAAGAAAUAGCAAAGUGAGCCCUAUCACUUGUCUUCAGUGCUUCUGUUAAAUUCACUUCAUGAGUUUUAGCAUUUAUAUGAGUAAUGUAUAUACAUUGACUCUGGAGUUUAGGCUGGAGUGCUCUAUACCCUUAUAAGGAAGGGUAAGUUAAAACAGGCAGAUGGAGCUGGUUUUUAAGAAGGGGAAUUUA